UACGGAGGGUGCAAGCGUUAUCCGGAUUUACUGGGUUUAAAGGGUGUGUAGGCGGGCUGUUAAGUCAGUGGUGAAAUCUCCGGGCUCAACCCGGAAACUGCCAUUGAUACUAAUGGACUUGAAUUUUGUUGAGGUAGGCGGAAUAAGUCAUGUAGCGGUGAAAUGCAUAGAUAUGACUUAGAACACCAAUUGCGAAGGCAGCUUGCUAAACAAAUAUUGACGCUGAGGCACGAAAGCGUGGGGAUCAAACAGG
rnacentral:rRNA from 1 species